UCACUUGUGGUUAGCUCAGUACCAUGACUUACUCCAGAUCUUAGAGGAGAAACUCUCAGCCACCCCACGAGAAGGAAGCAGUAGAGGUUCCAUCUCUUGAAUAUAAAAGUAUAUUUUAUUUUUGGAGAUUUUCUCACUUUUUCAAUCUUUUAUUCAGGUUACUAAAAUUGAACAAUAAAUCAAAACAUAGGGAGCCAUUUUGUAUUCUAUUAAAGCAAUGAAGAAUCGAGGUAGAUGAUACAAAAACCAAAUCAUCACAGACUAAAGACACGGAAAACUGAAGUUUUUCUCGACCUUAUAACCAACAGGGUAACCUUGCAUAAACUGUUUAAGCUUAAUCAAAUCAUCAGAGCUAGUGAGACGCUCCAUUAAAAUCUCCACUGUGGUCUGAUUUGCUUCGCAGGAGGACUGGUUCAUUUCGUCCAUUAGCUUAAACAAUGUCUCCUUUUGGUGCACCUCAUUAAGACACUUAAACAAGGCAUUGUAA
rnacentral:lncRNA from 1 species